AGAGACAGACACAAGGACAGGCACGGAGACAGAGCCAGACCACGCUAUAGCUCACAGAGCCAGACCCCACUAUAGUCCAGAGUCAGACCCCACUAUAGCCCACAGAGCCAGCCCACAGAGCUAGACCAUGCUAUAGCCCACAGAGCCAGACCACACUAUAGCCAACAGAGCCAGACCCCACUAUAGCCCACAGAGCCAGACCACACUACAGCCCACAGAGCAAGACCCCACUAUAGCCCACAGAGCCAGACCACACUAUAGCCUACAGAGCCAGACCCCACUAUAGCCCACAGAGCCAGACCACACUAUAGCCCACAGAGCCAGACCACACUAUAGCCCACAGAGGCAGACCACACUAUAGCCCAGAGCCAGACCCCACUAUAGCCCAGAGGCAGACCCCACUAUAGCCCACAGAGCCAGACCCCACUAUAGCCCACAGAGCCAGACCACACUAUAGCCCAGAGAACCAGGCCCCACUAUAGCCCACAGAGCCAGACCACACUAUAGCCCACAGAGCCAGACCACACUAUAGCCCAUAGAGCCAGACCCCACUUUAGCCCACAGAGCCAGACCACACUAUAGCCCACAGAACCAGACCCCACUAUAGCCCACAGAGCAAGACCACACUAUAGCCCACAGAGCCAGACCCCACUAUAGCCCACAGAGCCAGACCCCACUAUAGCCCACAGAGCCAGACCACACUAUAGCCCACAGAGCCAGACCCCACUUUAGCCCACAGAGCCAGACCACACUAUAGCCCACAGAACCAGGCCCCACUAUAGCCCACAGAGCAAGACCACACUAUAGCCCACAGAGCCAGACCCCACUUUAGCCCACAGAGCCAGACCACACUAUAGCCCACAGAACCAGGCCCCACUAUAGCCCACAGAGCAAGACCACACUAUAGCCCACAGAGCCAGACCCCACUUUAGCCCACAGAGCCAGACCACACUAUAGCCCACAGAACCAGGCCCCACUUUAGCCCACAGAGCCAGACCACACUAUAGCCCACAGAACCAGGCCCCACUAUAGCCCACAGAGCCAGACCACACUAUAGCCCAGAGCCAGACCACACUAUAGCCCACAGAACCAGGCCCAACUAUAGUCCACAGAGCCAGACCACACUAUAGCCCACAGAGCCAGACCCCACUAUAGCCCACAGAGCCAGACCCCACUAUAGCCCACAGAGCCAGACCCCACUAUAGCCCACAGAGCCAGACCCCACUAUAGCCAACAGAGCAGGACCCCACUAUAGCCCACAGAGCCAGACCACACUAUAGCCCACAAAACCAGGCCCCACUAUAGCCCACAGAGCCAGACCCCGCUAUAGCCCACAGAGCCAGACCCCACUAUAGCCCACAGAGCCAGACCACACUAUAGCCCAGAGACAGACCCCACAGAGCCAGACCCCACUAUAGCCCACAGAGCCAGACCCCACUAUAGCCCACAGAGCCAGACCCCGCUAUAGCCCACAGAGCCAGACGCCACUAUAGCCCACAAGCCAGACCCCACAGAGCCAGACCACACUAUAGCCCACAGAGUCAGACACAGAGCCAGACCACACUAUAGCCCACAGAGCCAGACCCCACUAUAGCCCACAGAGCCAGACCCCACUAUAGCCCACAGAGCCAGACCCCACUAUAGCCCACAGAACCAGGCCCCACUAUAGCCCAGAGAGCCAGACCACACUAUAGCCCACAGAGCCAGACCCCACUAUAGCCCACAGAGCCAGACCCCACUAUAGCCCACAGAGCCAGACCCCACUAUAGCCCACAGAACCAGACCACACUAUAGCCCACAGAGCCAGACCCAACUAUAGCCCACAGAGCCAGACCCCACUAUAGCCCACAGAGCCAAACCCCACAGAGCCAGGCACCACUAUAGCCCAG
ensembl:lncRNA